GAGGAGGGGACAGGGAGGAGGUGUGACAGAGGUUGGGAGGUGAAGCUGGGGAUGGAGGUGUGACCAAGGAUGGAAGGUGAGGAUGGGGAUGGAGGUGUAACUGAGGAUGGGAGGUAAAGCCGAGGAUGGAGGUGUGACAAAGGAUGGAAGGUGAGAAUGGGGAUGGAGGUGUGACAGAGGUGGGAGGUGAGGCUUCGGAUGGAGGUGUGAACCAGGAAAAGAAAGAAUCACAGAAGGGCAAUGAGGGUGAGCCGGUGACUGAUGAGGGAGACUGGAAGAAGUUGAGACUAGAAGGAGGAGGAGGAGGGUAGAGGGAGGAGAGAGGAAGAGGCACAGACACAGCACACAGACAACAGAGGAUGUGAGCAAGACAGGAAAAAAGUGACACUGAGAAGAAAAGAAGUGACCAGAGUGUGUGUGCCAGCACCGACAGUGGAAUACACUGCCAUAGUGUGUGUACCAGCACUGACAGCGGAUACAUUGCCACAGUGUGUGUGCCAGCACC